AUACGUAGGGGACAAGCGUUAUCCGGAUUUACUGGGCGUAAAGGGCGUGUAGGCGGUCUUGCAAGUCAGAAGUGAAAUUCCUGAGCUCAACUCGGGCGCUGCUUCUGAAACUGCAGGACUUGAGUGCUGGAGGGGAUAGCGGAAUUCCUAGUGGAGCGGUAAAAUGCGCAGAUAUUAGGAAGAACACCGGUGGCGAAGGCGGCUACCUGGACAGUAACUGACGCUGAGGGGCGAAAGCGUGGGGAGAAAAAAGGUUUAGGUGCCCUGGUAGUCCUGGCCGUAAACGAUGAAUACUAGUUGUAGGGGGUAUCGCAUCCCUCUGUGCCGCAGUUAACACAUUAAGUAUUACGCCUGGGGAGUACGGCCGCAAGGUUGAAACUCAAAGGAAUUGACGGGU
rnacentral:rRNA from 1 species